rnacentral:rRNA from 1 species
UACGGAGGGUGCAAGCGUUAUCCGGAUUUACUGGGUUUAAAGGGUGCGUAGGUGGGUAGGUAAGUCAGUGGUGAAAUCUUCGAGCUUAACUCGGAAACUGCCAUUGAUACUAUCUGUCUUGAAUACUUUGGAGGUAAGCGGAAUAUGUCAUGUAGCGGUGAAAUGCUUAGAGAUGCGGAGGAACACCGAUGGCGAAGGCAGCCCCCUGGGCCAAUACUGACGCUCAGGCACGAAAGCGUGGGGAGCAAACAGG